AAAGCAAUGGCAGACGGCAAGGAGAGAGCAGAAGAACUUUGGGACAAGUGAUAUUCUGCGACAGGGAGUCAACCAACCACUGUCUGCUCCCACACAACACUUUUGGUGGAAUGUCAGGGCAUUCGGAGUACAGACGUGGAAUGGCAGUGCUGGAGAAAUAUUUUCAGCUGGGCAGCUCAUAUCGCGGAUCAAUUACUUUCGGCAGACUUUUAAACCCCUUUUCUACAGUUUUGAUGGGAACCAUAUCUUUUCCGAGGUAAAAGAAAAAGGUCAUUAUCUGGGAGGCCUGCUGUCUCAUAUCAAGUCACAAACCUGGUAAUACACUCCAGUGGCCGGAUAAGAAACAAGGUGCUAAGGGGCUUAAGUGAUAAGGGCAUCACAAUUGCCGGAACAGAGAGUCCGUCUGGAGAGGCCUGGCAGAAGCCGGAGAGUUAGAUUUAAGAUUCCGUGUUCCACCCAUCCCUCUCAGUACUGACACCGAUCGUGACACAUCCUUACCUGAAGACCCUUGCCUGGAACACAGACCUCGACUUUUGCCUCAACCCCCCUGGAA